GCCCCCUGAAUUGUAGUCUGGAGAGGCGCCAUCGGCCACGCCCGGCGCUCAAGUCCCUUGGAACGGGGUAUCGGAGAAGGUGAGAAUCCUGUGCCGCGCCGGCGCGUGGCCGCACGAUGCGUUCUCGUAGAGUCGGGCUGCUUGGGAGUGCAGCCUGAAGCGGGUGGUAAAUUCCAUCUAAAGCUAAAUACUGGCGAGAGACCGAUAGCGAACAAGUACCGUGAGGGAAAGAUGCAAAGAACUUUGAAAAGAGAGUUAAAGAGUGCUUGAAAUUGGCAGGAGGAAACCCGGUUGCGCGUGGCAUCGCGCGGCGUCGACUCAGCCGUCUUCGCGGCCUGUAGGGGACCUAACGGCUCCGUGGUUGAAGAAGGCGGUGCACUUCGGCGUCGCGGGUCAGCCGCGGCUCGGCGGGGGCAAUACGGCGUUUGGCAGGGCUUCGGCGUCGCCUUUCGUGAUGGCCCGCGCUGGGCUCCGGCUGAUGCGCACGGGCGCAACCGACCCGUCUAGAAACACGGACCAAGGAGUCUGACGCGUGUGCGAGUACCCGGGUGGCAAGCCCGCGUGCGCAAUGAAAGUGAAGGGCGUGCCCCGCCAACCGACCUUGAUCUUCUGUGAAGGGUUUGAGUGGAGCACACGAGUCGGGACCCGAAAGAUGGUGAACUAUGCCUGAGGAGGGUGAAGCCAGAGGAAACUCUGGUGGAGGCUCGUAGCGAUACUGACGUGCAAAUCGUUCGUCGAACUUGGGUAUAGGGGCGAAAGACUAAUCGAACCAUCUAGUAGCUGGUUCCCUCCGAAGUUUCCCUCAGGAUAGCUUGAACGCCGACGGUUUUGU
rnacentral:rRNA from 1 species